UACGUAGGGUGCGAGCGUUAAUCGGAAUUACUGGGCGUAAAGCGUGCGCAGGCGGUUUUGCAAGCCGGAUGUGAAAUCCCCGGGCUCAACCUGGGAAUGGCAUUCGGGACUGCAAGGCUGGAGUGCGGCAGAGGAGAGUGGAGCUCCCGGUGUAGCGGUGAAAUGCGCAGAUAUCGGGAAGAACACCCGUGGCGAAGGCGGCUCUCUGGGACGGUACUGACGCUGAGACGCGAAAGCGUGGGGAGCGAACAGG
rnacentral:rRNA from 1 species